UAAGUACUUCCUCCGUCCGGAAUUACUUGUCAUCAAAAUGGAUGUGUCUAGAACUAAAAUACAUCUAGAUACAUCCAUUUCAAUGACAAGUAUUUUCGGACGGAGGGAGUACAAG
rnacentral:pre_miRNA from 1 species